rnacentral:misc_RNA from 1 species
AAGUCGUAACAAGGUUUCCGUAGGUGAACCUGCGGAAGGAUCAUUAACACGUAUCCAACGUUAAACCCCCAAGUCCCUGAAUCAAAACUGUUCGGCAAUGAUUUACCAGGGAUUGCUACCUUUUCUAAGAAAGUGCGAGCGCACUGAAGGUUCACUUCUGCGUAGACUGUGCUUGAGCGUGAGGCAAGUGGCCUGGCAUUCCUCUGCUUGUUGGUGUCUGAAAGUGUCACCAGCUCUGUACGAAUGGCGCAGUCACGAUCGCUAGAGGCCGACACGGCCGGCGACCGGGUCACUGGGCGCGAGCCCCCCUCGUCACCUUUGCAUGAAAACGGGCCUGCGCUUAAUUGUGCGGCCACCAAACUCGAACAACUGUUAACAAUGGAUAUCUUGGUUCUC